UACGUAGGGUGCGAGCGUUGCCCGGAUUUAUUGGGCGUAAAGGGCGCGUAGGCGGUUCCGUACGUCCGUUGUGAAAUCGCUCGGCUCAACUGGGCGGGGUCAGCGGAUACGGUGGCACUUGAGCAAGCUAGGGGGCAAUGGAAUUCCCGGUGUAGUGGUGGAAUGCGUAGAUAUCGGGAGGAACACCAGUGGCGAAGGCGGUUGCCUGGAGCUUUGCUGACGCUGAUGCGCGAAAGCGUGGGGAGCGAUCCGG
rnacentral:rRNA from 1 species